CCAGACUCCUACGGGAGGCAGCAGUGGGGAAUAUUGGGCAAUGGGCGCAAGCCUGACCCAGCAACGCCGCGUGAAGGAAGAAGGCCCUCGGGUUGUAAACUUCUUUUAACAGGGACGAAGAAAGUGACGGUACCUGUUGAAUAAGCAUCGACUAACUCCGUGCCAGCAGCCGCGGUAAUACGGAGGAUGCGAGCGUUAUCCGGAUUUAUUGGGUUUAAAGGGUGCGCAGGCGGAAUGUCAAGUCAGCGGUAAAAUUUCGGGGCUCAACCCCGUCGUGCCGUUGAAACUGGCGUUCUUGAGUGAGCGAGAAGUAUGCGGAAUGCGUGGUGUAGCGGUGAAAUGCAUAGAUAUCACGCAGAACUCCGAUUGCGAAGGCAGCAUACCGGCGCUCAACUGACGCUCAUGCACGAAAGCGUGGGUAUCGAACAGGAUUAGAUACCCCCGUAC
rnacentral:rRNA from 1 species